CCGCACGACGACUUGACGCAAGAAGACAAAUUUCAAAAUUGAACGCACAUUCGAAACACGAAAUGGUGUGACCGCUUCAACCAGAGUUAUGACACUACCGCCAUAGGGUUUACACAAGUGCGAGCAAGACGACUAUAUGGCACUUCCAAUGCAAGUCUUAAUCAUGGGGGAAGCCCCUAAUUUUGGGAAUACUGGCCAGUUUUAUUUUAUUUAUCUUUAAAUUGAAUGGCUUCUAAAAAAUACAACUUAAAUUAUAGCAUAUUUUAAUAUUCAUCUAGAAUAUCUCUGGAAAUAACUGUAUCUGUGACUUCUAAGAUUUAUUUUAUAACACAUAUAAAUAAAAAUAAAUUUAUAACA